AUGGCGGCAGCGCUGGAGCGGGCGCUCGGUCCGGCCGGGUCGGAGGCGGCCGCGUCAGUCCCGGAGUCACCGCUGUUGGUGCUCGGCCCGGCGGGCUCCGGCCGCACGGCGCUGCUGCUGCGGGCGGCGUUGGCGGGAGGAGGAGACGGGCCCCGAGCGCUCUUCUUAGCGCCCAGCCCUCCAUCGCGGCUCCCGGACGGCGGCGGCGGCGACCCGAGGGCGCUGCAGCGCCUGGAGCUCCGUUACCCCCCCACCAUGGCAGCCCUUGCCCAGGAGCUGGGGGCAAUGGCAGCCCGAGCCCAGCCCCCCGGCUUGCUGCUGCUGGACGGCUUGGAGCAUUACAUCCAGGGGGGGCCCAGCGCUCCCGCCCGCCUGGCCGCCCUGCUGUUGGAGGCCUCCCGUGCCCCCCGCCCUCCCGCCCAGCUCCUGGCUGCCCUUCGCCUGCCCCCCCCUGGCCCCAGAGUGCUGCCCGUCCUGCGCCGUUACUUCCCGGCUGAAUGCCGCCUGCGACCCACACCUGGGAUCCCACUGAAGGUGAACGUCCGCCUCGUCCUGCCCGGAGCGGCCCCACGGGGCUGGAGGCUGAGCUUUGGGCCCCACGGAGAGCUGCAUGUCACCCCAGGGCCUGGGGACGGCGAUGGGGAUGAGGAUGAGGACGGUGAUGGCAGUGGGGAUGAAGCCUGAGGGUGAGUCUGGUGGUGAGGUGGAGCCCGGGUGACACAGUGACACGACGCCCUGGUGACAUGGAGCCCACGGGUGUCACUGAGCCUGGCUGAUGUUGAGCACCAGUGGCAUGGUGACAUGGAGCUGCCAGGUGACAUGGAACCCAGGUGGCAUGAAGCCCAGGUGAUGUGGAGCCCAGGUGACACAGUGACAUGGAGUUGCCAGGUGACGUGGAGCCCAGGUGAUGUGGAGCCCAGGUGACACAAUGACAUGAAGCCCAGGUGAUGUGGAACCUGGGUGACACAGUGACACAACGCCCUGGUGACAGCCCAGGUGAUGUGGAGCCCAGGUGACACAGUGACACGGAGCUGCCAGGUGACAUGGAGCCCAGGUGACACGAUGACAUGGAGUCCAGGUGACAUGGAACCCAGGUGACACAGUGACACGGAGCCCUGGUGACAUGGAGCUCACAGGUGUUGUGGUGCCACUGAGCCUGGCUGAUGUUGAGCCCAGGUGAUACAAUGACAUGGAGCCCAGGUGAUGUGGAACCCAGGUGACACGGUGACAUGGAGCUGCCAGGUGACAUGGUGACAUGGAGCCCAGGUGAUGUUGAGUCCCAGUGCCAUGGUGACGUGGAGCUGCCAGGUGACAUGGAGCCCGGGUGACAUGGAACCUAGGUGACACAGUGACAUGGAACUGACAUGGAACCCAGGUGACGUGGAGCCCAGGUGAUGUGGAACGCAGGUGACUCUGUGACGUGGAGCUGCCAGGUGUCAUAGUGACAUGGAACCCAGGUGACAUGGAGCCUGGGUGACACAGUGACAUGGAAACUUGAGCCCAGGUGACACGGAACACAGGUGACACAAUGCCUGUAUGUCACAGAACCUGGGUGAAAUAGAACCCAGGUUACAUGGAACCCAAGUGACACAGUGACACAGAACCCAGGUGACAUGGAGCAGCGGUGACACAGAACCCAGUUGGCACAGAGCACAGGUGACGUGGAACCCAGGUGACACAGGGC
ensembl:lncRNA